rnacentral:rRNA from 1 species
GAUGAACGCUGACAGAAUGCUUAACACAUGCAAGUCGACUUGAAGCAACUUCGGUUGUGGAAAGUGGCGGACGGGUGAGUAACGCGUAAAGAACUUGCCCUUCAGUCUGGGACAACCAUUGGAAACGAUGGCUAAUACCGGAUAUUAUGGAACUCUCGCAUGGGAGGAUCAUGAAAGCUAUAUGCGCUGAAGGAGAGCUUUGCGUUCCAUUAGCUAGUUGGUGAGGUAACGGCUCACCAAGGCGACGAUGGAUAGCCGGCCUGAGAGGGUGAUCGGCCACAAGGGGACUGAGACACGGCCCUUACUCCUACGGGAGGCAGCAGUGGGGAAUAUUGGACAAUGGACCAAAAGUCUGAUCCAGCAAUUCUGUGUGCACGAUGAAGGUUUUCGGAUCGUAAAGUGCUUUCAGUUGGGAAGAAGAAAGUGACGGUACCAACAGAAGAAGCGACGGCUAAAUACGUGCCAGCAGCCGCGGUAAUACGUAUGUCGCAAGCGUUAUCCGGAUUUAUUGGGCGUAAAGCGCGUCUAGGCGGGUUCAUAAGUCUGAUGUUAAAAUGCGGGGCUCAACUCCGUAUUGCGUUGGAAACUGUGAACCUAGAGUAUCAGAGAGGUGGGCGGAACUACAAGUGUAGAGGUGAAAUUCGUAGAUAUUUGUAGAAUGCCGAUGGAGAAGUCAGCUCACUGGAUGAAUACUGACGCUAAAGCGCGAAAGCGUGGGUAGCAAACAGG